UCCUGAUGAAAAAUGUUUGAUUUAAGAGACUUCCAAAAUCUAGACCCAGGCACAACAUUUACCUCAUUUCCUGGGCAGGUUUCAAGGUCUUGGUGUGGACAGAAAAAUCCAUCGCAUGUAGCUGCAAUUACACUGGGACUCAGAAGAUUAGAAGAUGCUUUGCUCUCCUGCUCCUGCUUGCUAGAAUGGAAGAGGUCAUCUAUUUUUAAAGUACUUGGCAGAGGCCAUACCAUCUCUAUUUGUGUCAAUUCCCAGCAGACCAGCACAGGCACUGCAGAUGUGAUACAUCGACUUCAUCACUGUCUGCUCCUCUUGGCAUGGCCAGAUCAUCAGGUUAUCUUCUACUUGCCUGUUUCCAUGGAAGUCAGCUCUCUUUGGGAUGGCUUACUUCAGCUUCAGCAGCUUUCCAGACCACAUCUGGGGGUUAACACACCACUUCCACUGAGUGUCACCUUCUUGGAGAAUCCCUGCUUCCUCCUGGGCAUGAAGGCUGACUUAUCUACUCACUGCAUCAGUUUCUCCAGGCAGACAGUUCAUUCAUCAAUCAUAUUUACAAGCCCAUUGUCGGACCGGCUGCCAGUGGAGCAUUCUCACACAUUUCAGCUCACAGAAACUGCAAACCAGGGCCGCUCUGCUCAGAUCUCUAAUAUUUCUGAGGAGCCAGAAGGUGCUGACAGCUCAUGGUACGCCUAUCCCAGGCAAGUGCAAGUGCCUCGACGUCCAUCUAUCUGCGGUUACUGCUGAGGGGUACAAUUACAGAGCACAUUUACCCUCUGCGAAGGAAUCCUCCCUGGAGAGGUUAGAAACGGGGAAUAAACAGCGCGUUGCAGCUGGGGGUCUGCAAAACGAGCUUCAGAAUAAUCACCCAAGCGGACUUUUUGAGUGAGCUUCUGCCACUACUGAGCCUCCCGUGACGGCAGCAGGAGCAGCUCAGGGGCGGCAGACGUGGGCCUUGGUCUUGCUUUGUGCUUUGCUGUUCCACACCCUCACUUAUUUUUCCCUUUAAGCGUGUACCUCGGGAUGGAGAACAUUAGGGAAGAACGUUCCUCCUUGGGAUUUCACAGGAGGGUGUUUCUCAGGGCGGCAGAAGGAAGCAGCUCCCAGCACCCAAGGCGACACAUUGUCACCACAGCCCUGCUUGCAUCCGAGCCCAUUGUCAACCAAAGGAACUCGAAAAUUAUGGUCAUUUAUCUACCCCCUUCUUUACCCCCCACCGUGCCUCUUUUGGCAGGGCAGCCAAGCAGUUUGCAUUGUUUCAAGCUUAAUGCUUGCAGAUGGUUUUAUUUAGAAUUCGUUUUAUUGGUGA
ensembl:lncRNA